AGAGAGAAAAGGCUAAAUAUGACCAAAUUAAGAAAGUUCACAACUGAGAGAAUUCUGACCGAAGAUUCAAGUGCUGCCAGUACAAAGGAACAGAUUGACGGACCUGUUUCACAGGAUUAAGCUUUACAGUUCAUGAGUCAGUUUAAAUGUAUUAUUCUUAUUGAGUUGUAAUUUAUUGCUUUCCUAGAUUGAUUAUUUAGAAAUAAUACUGAACUGAGUUAACUUCAAGUUUGGGAUAACUCGAAGUGGGUUCAACGGUCAAGGGUGAUUAUGGAGUUAUAGGAAUUAUAGUUUAUAAUUUCAGUUAUUGAGGUAUAUGAAUUAGAGUUUAUAAUUCUUAGUUGUUGGUUACAAGAGUUUUGUAAUCAGUCGUUGUUGAGGCUCAGAGUUGUUUAGUGAAGUUGGGGUUAAAUCCUGUAGAGGUACAGGUUGUGUUUUUUUACACUUUUUUGAGCCGGAU
rnacentral:lncRNA from 1 species